UGCAAGUCGAGCGGUAGAGAGGAGCUUGCUUCUCUUGAGAGCGGCGGACGGGUGAGUAAUGCCUAGGAAUCUGCCUAGUGGUGGGGGAUAACGUUCGGAAACGGACGCUAAUACCGCAUACGUCCUACGGGAGAAAGCGGGGGACCUUCGGGCCUCGCGCCAUUAGAUGAGCCUAGGUCGGAUUAGCUAGUUGGUGAGGUAACGGCUCACCAAGGCGACGAUCCGUAACUGGUCUGAGAGGAUGAUCAGUCACACUGGAACUGAGACACGGUCCAGACUCCUACGGGAGGCAGCAGUGGGGAAUAUUGGACAAUGGGCGAAAGCCUGAUCCAGCCAUGCCGCGUGUGUGAAGAAGGUCUUCGGAUUGUAAAGCACUUUAAGUUGGGAGGAAGGGCAGUAAGCGAAUACCUUGCUGUUUUGACGUUACCGACAGAAUAAGCACCGGCUAACUCUGUGCCAGCAGCCGCGGUAAUACAGAGGGUGCAAGCGUUAAUCGGAAUUACUGGGCGUAAAGCGCGCGUAGGUGGUUGGUUAAGUUGGAUGUGA
rnacentral:rRNA from 1 species